rnacentral:rRNA from 1 species
UACGUAGGGUGCAAGCGUUAAUCGGAAUUACUGGGCGUAAAGCGUGCGCAGGCGGUUUUGUAAGACAGAGGUGAAAUCCCCGGGCUCAACCUGGGAACUGCCUUUGUGACUGCAAGGCUUGAGUGCGGCAGAGGGGGGUAGAAUUCCACGUGUAGCAGUGAAAUGCGUAGAGAUGUGGAGGAAUACCGAUGGCGAAGGCAGCCCCCUGGGAUAACACUGACGCUCAUGCACGAAAGCGUGGGGAGCAAACAGG